CCUACGGGAGGCAGCAGUGAGGAAUAUUGGUCAAUGGACGAGAGUCUGAACCAGCCAAGUAGCGUGAAGGAUGACUGCCCUAUGGGUUGUAAACUUCUUUUAUAUGGGAAUAAAACAGGGUAUGCAUACCCUCUUGUAUGUACCAUAUGAAUAAGGAUCGGCUAACUCCGUGCCAGCAGCCGCGGUAAUACGGAGGAUUCGAGCGUUAUCCGGAUUUAAUGGGUUUAAAGGGAGCGCAGGUGGAUUGUUAAGUCAGUUGUGAAAGGGUGCGGCUCAACCGUAGAAUUGCAGUUGAAACUGGCAGUCUUGAGUGGAAGAGAGGUAUGCGGAAUGCGUGGUGUAGCGGUGAAAUGCAUAGAUAUCACGAAGAACUCCGAUUGCGAAGGCAGCACACCGGAUCGCCACUGACACUGAGGCACGAAAGUGUGGGUAUCAAACAGGAUUAGAUACCCGAGUAGUC
rnacentral:rRNA from 1 species